CCUACGGGAGGCAGCAGUGGGGGAUAUUGCACAAUGGGGGAAACCCUGAUGCAGCGACGCCGCGUGUGGGAAGACGGUCCUCUGGAUUGUAAACCACUGUCCCCAGGGACGAAAAUGACGGUACCUGGGGAGGAAGCUCCGGCUAACUCCGUGCCAGCAGCCGCGGUAAUACGUAGGGAGCGAGGGUUGUCCGGAAUUACUGGGUGUAAGGGGAUCGUGGGCGGGACGGCAAGUUGGGGGUAAAAUCUACCGGCUCAACCGGUAGCCGCACUCAAAACUGCAGUUCUUGAGUGAAGUAGAGGCAGGCGGAAUUCCUAGUGUAGCGGUGAAAUGCGUAGAUAUUAGGAGGAACACCAGUGGCGAAGGCGGCCUGCUGGGCUUUUACUGACGCUGAGGCUCGAAAGUGUGGGGAGCAAACAGGAUUAGAUACCCCAGUAGUC
rnacentral:rRNA from 1 species